rnacentral:rRNA from 10 species
CUUAAUUGGGCGUUAAGUUGCAGGGUAUAGACCCGAAACCCGGUGAUCUAGCCAUGGGCAGGUUGAAGGUUGGGUAACACUAACUGGAGGACCGAACCGACUAAUGUUGAAAAAUUAGCGGAUGACCUGUGGCUGGGGGUGAAAGGCCAAUCAAACCGGGAGAUAGCUGGUUCUCCCCGAAAGCUAUUUAGGUAGCGCCUCGUGAAUUCAUCUCCGGGGGUAGAGCACUGUUUCGGCUAGGGGGCCAUCCCGGCUUACCAACCCGAUGCAAACUGCGAAUACCGGAGAAUGUUAUCACGGGAGACACACGGCGGGUGCUAACGUCCGUCGUGAAGAGGGAAACAACCCAGACCGCCAGCUAAGGUCCCAAAGUCAUGGUUAAGUGGGAAACGAUGUGGGAAGGCCCAGACAGCCAGGAUGUUGGCUUAGAAGCAGCCAUCAUUUAAAGAAAGCGUAAUAGCUCACUGGUCGAGUCGGCCUGCGCGGAAGAUGUAACGGGGCUAAACCAU